CACCACGGUAACUUGUAAGUAACUCACUGUACUUUAGUACCAGACCAUCUGAGUUUCUAACUCAGUGUCGGAUAGCUACUGAGUGCAGUCAAGUGCUUAUCAAGUCGGUGUGUGAGUCAAGAUGGAAUUGACCCCUCUGAAUUAGUAAGAGAUAUGCAUCAGUAUAUUUUAAUUCAGUAAAAUCUUGACCAGGAUAAUCUCUGAGA
rnacentral:lncRNA from 1 species